UACGGGGGGAGCAAGCGUUGUUCGGAUUUACUGGGCGUAAAGGGCGCGUAGGCGGCCAGCACAAGUCAGUUGUGAAAUCUCCGGGCUUAACUCGGAAAGGUCAACUGAUACUGUGCGGCUAGAGUGCAGAAGGGGCAACUGGAAUUCUCGGUGUAGCGGUGAAAUGCGUUGAUAUCGAUAGGAACUCCGGUGGCGAAGGCGGCAUACUGGACCACUUCUGACGCUGAGGCGCGAAAGCCAGGGGAGCAAACGGG
rnacentral:rRNA from 1 species